CGAACGCUGGCGGCGUGCCUAAUACAUGCAAGUCGAGCGGAGAAUUUGGAGCUUGCUCCAUUUUCUUAGCGGCGGACGGGUGAGUAACACGUGGGCAACCUGCCCUGCAGAUCGGGAUAACUCCGGGAAACCGGUGCUAAUACCGAAUAGUUUGUUCCACCUCCUGGUGGAACACGGAAAGACGGUUUCGGCUGUCACUGCAGGAUGGGCCCGCGGCGCAUUAGCUAGUUGGUGGGGUAAUGGCCCACCAAGGCGACGAUGCGUAGCCGACCUGAGAGGGUGAUCGGCCACACUGGGACUGAGACACGGCCCAGACUCCUACGGGAGGCAGCAGUAGGGAAUCUUCCGCAAUGGACGAAAGUCUGACGGAGCAACGCCGCGUGAGUGACGAAGGUUUUCGGAUCGUAAAACUCUGUUGUGAGGGAAGAACAAGUACCAACUAACUACUGGUACCUUGACGGUACCUCACCAGAAAGCCACGGCUAACUCC
rnacentral:rRNA from 1 species